GGGCCGGUAGCUUAGCCAGGUUGGAGCGCGUGACUGAUAAUCACGAGGUCGGGAGUUCAAAUCUCCCCCGGCCCA
rnacentral:tRNA from 1 species